ensembl:lncRNA THAP9-AS1 THAP9 antisense RNA 1
GCAUUUGACCGCUCCUCCCUCCGCGUUGGAGGCGGAAUAGUGGGUUUUGCUGCAACCGGUUUAUUUUCCUUCUGUUUUCACCCAUUCUGGCACAAUCUGGCGCCAUCGUCCUUCUUGUGAGGCCAAGCCUGAAAAUGCGAAGCAGAGAGGCAGGACCAAAAUUGAGGCGAAUCCAGGAACCUGCCAAUGGGUCUCCGGGUGCGGUCUCUGAAACUGGAGGAUAUCGGGAGGAAAGGCUCUCCGAUGCGGAGAUAAUGGGGAAGCUCUUGGCAUGGUUGGCUGUAGGUAUGUGAUACCGGAGGAGCAGGAGUCAAAUAGGAUACGCCGACUUUUAAUUCAAGGAACCCUUUUCUGAAACACUUUGCCACAAUGAAGGAAAUAAGAUUACAGCCGAAGAUACAUAUUAAGGAAUUGUACUCUCAGAGAUGUUGAGAAAAGAUACAUGGGUCUUGGAAGAUAAUUACUCAAAAUAUGCAGGGAAGGAAUAAAAUUGAAGGGUGUUUUUCUUAGAGAACAUCAUUUGUCAUAUUUAUUUGAUCAAGAAGUUGAAGAUUUAUAUAAUAAGG